rnacentral:rRNA from 1 species
AUGCCUCCACGCCGACGAGAGCCACGAGCGGCGACCGCGGCUGCACCCCCUUCCCCUCCUCGGAUACCCCCACAUAUCCUCGAAUCCAUCCCAGAGAUGGUGAAACUAAUAUUGCCGGUUCCGCAGGGGAUACUCAUGGUGACCGGGGCCCGAGGGUGGGUGGAGCGGGCGACCAGGAUCCGCGACGCCACCGCGGCGUGGAUCCGGCGCGUCCAGGAAUGGAAGACGGCAGAUCAGGGCGACAGAUCCGUGCGCGAGGUCCGCGGCGAUGAGGUAUGCGGAGAGUUUCUAGAGGAGAGCGGAUCUGGAGCAGAGGAUUCUAGCGAAGGUGAUCUACGACGAGGCCACAAUGGAGGAAAGGGCAAGGAUGCCCGCCUUCCCGCACUCCCUGCCGGCUGCGUUUGUUCUGUGGGCGAGGGCGGAGGCAAAAUCAGAGGAACCACGAAGGGCGCUGCGAUGGGAUUGCUUGCUGGGAGUGAUGCCGUCUGGGGCGCCACUGCAGCUCUCAUCCUCGCCGCCGGAGAUCAGCCGUGUUUGAACACAUCUCCGCUGGUGGAUGCCCCCAUUUCUUUCGCCAGAAAUUUGAAGAAUGCUGAAGAUACUCUGCAGAGAGGUGCGGAGAUUGAGAAAUUGCAGAACAAGCGAGUUUCGUUCGACCCUGGAGGCUCAUCACCAGAUAGAGAUGCUGACACUGAUAAUUACCUAAUACAUUCAAGACCUAGAGGCAGAUUUUGGGCAUUGGGCAAGGUAGAUGAAGAGGACGAGGGGCUAUUUGCAGAUGAAGCUGAACAGCGCAGCCCGUACUUGGCAACAUUUGCAGAUGCACUGGCUUGUGCUAAGAAGAUGAAGUCUGGUAGAGAUAAACAAAAGAAGAGAAAUAGUGGGGGAGAAUCUGAUUCCAAAACUCGGAGAGAUAAGAUAGAGAGGAGCAUCUUGACAAACAAAUCUAUCAUUGGCAGGGAAAAAAUCGAUGUGGGCAAUGACUCUGAACCUAACUGGGUGCAGAUGGGGCAUGGAAAGAAGAGGGGGAUUAAAUCAGCGUUUUCUCUGAUUGAUGCCCCUCUUGCAACACGAUCGCCAGCACGUCAGGAAGGGGAAACAGGGGAUGAUUUGGAAUUCAGAGGGAAAAACUUUAUUUCCAUUCGCACUAUAAAGAAAACUGGGCCGGUUUGGAAGGGAACAGGCCAAGAAAGUGGAAAAGCCUAG